rnacentral:rRNA from 1 species
UACAGAGGUCUCAAGCGUUGUUCGGAUUCAUUGGGCGUAAAGGGUGUGUAGGUGGCGCCGUAAGUCGGGUGUGAAAUUUCGGAGCUUAACUCCGAAACUGCAUUCGAUACUGGCGUGCUUGAGGACUGGAGAGGAGACUGGAAUUCAUGGUGUAGCAGUGAAAUGCGUAGAGAUCAUGAGGAAGACCAGUGGCGAAGGCGGGUCUCUGGACAGUUCUGACACUGAGACACGAAGGCCAGGGGAGCAAACGGG